AAGAAAGGAAAGAACGAAGAAGAAAAAGAGAGAGAAGAGCUUGCAUCAGCCAUCAAUGGCGGAUGGUGGAGGAGGCUGUCUGAGGCGUUGUGGCAACAGCUGGUAGAAGAGGAGACGCCAACGAACGCGGUAGCAGCACCGGCGGCGGUGAUCAGUAGUGGUGAAUGGCAGAAUUCGGUAGGAAAAAGGUAGAAUUUCAUGACGUCGUUCAUUGAGUUUCUGGCGAUCAUUUGUGGCAUUCUUAGGCUCAUAAUAAUCAGCAACUUCUAGGCUUCCUU
rnacentral:lncRNA from 1 species